ensembl:lncRNA
UAACAGGUUAUUCCCCUAACAGGUUAUUCUACUAACAGGUUAUUCCCCUAACAGGUUAUUCUCCUAACAGGUUAUUCUACUAACAGGUUAUUCCCCAAACAGGUUAUUCCACUAACAGGUUAUUCCACUAACAGGUUAUUCCACUAACAGGUUAUUCCCCUAAAGGUUAUUCCCCUAACAGGUUAUUCCCCUAACAUAUUAUUCCCCUAACAGAUUAUUCCCCUAACAGGUUAUUCCCCUAACAGGUUAUUCUCCUAACAGGUUAUUCUACUAACAGGUUAUUCCCCUAACAGGUUAUUCUACUAACAGGUUAUUCCCCUAACAGGUUAUUCUAAUAACAGCUUAUUCCCCUAACAUGUUAUUUCCCUAACAGGUUAUUCCCCUAACAGGUUAUUUCCCUAACAGGUUAUUGUACUAACAGGUUAUUCCCCUAACAGGUUAUUCCCCUAACAGGUUAUUCUACUAACAGGUUAUUCCCCUAACAGGUUAUUCCCCUAACAUGUUAUUCUACUAACAGGUUAUUCCCCUAACAGGU